AGCAAGUCGGGACCUUCGGGAGCGGCCGGUAGUGCAGCGGUGGCGGCUGCGGCGGUGGCUGCCACGGUGGGGCGCCCCGGCAGCUGGGGCUCGGGAUCGCUCCGAGCGGCUGAACCCCGUCCGCACCGCCUCCUCCUCCGUCGCUGCGGACGGCCGCAUGAGUCGAGGGACCAUGCCCCAGCCCGGAGCGUGGUCGGGCGCGAGCUGCGGCGAGACGCCGGCGCGGGAGGGCGGGAAGGCGGCGGCCGGCGGGCAGCCCCGGCCCGCGAUGCGGUGCCCGGCCGAGCCCGAGGAGGACAUGUACCGUGCUGCAGAUGAAAUAGAGAAGGAGAAAGAAUUGCUUAUACAUGAAAGAGGGGCAUCAGAACCCAGAUUAAGUGUGGCUCCUGAAAUGGAUAUCAUGGACUACUGCAAAAAAGAAUGGAGGGGAAAUACACAGAAAGCAACCUGUAUGAAAAAGGGCUAUGAGGAGGUUUCUCAGAAAUUCACCUCCAUAAGGCGAGUCCGUGGCGAUAAUUACUGUGCACUGAGGGCCACACUGUUCCAGGCAAUGAGCCAGCUGGCUGCGCUUCCCCUCUGGCUGCAGGAUCCGGAGCUCACGCUGUUACCUGAAAAACUGAUACACAAAUACAGCUGGAUCAAGCAGUGGAAACUUGGGCUGAAAUUUGAUGGGAAGAGCGAGGACCUGGUUGAAAAAAUUAAAGAAUCCCUCACCUUGCUAAGGAAGAAGUGGGCAAGCCUGGCUGAAAUGAGAACUGCUGAAGCAAGGCAAAUGGCUUGUGAUGAACUGUUCACAAAUGAAGAAGAGGAAUACUGCCUCUAUGAAGCUGUAAAAUUUCUAAUGCUAAACAGAGCCAUUGAACUAUAUGAUGAUAAAGAGAAGGGAAAGGAAGUACCAUUUUUCUCUGUGCUCCUGUUUGCUCGGGACACAUCGAAUGACCCUGGACAGCUACUGAGGAACCAUUUAAACCAGGUGGGACACACUGGUGGCCUUGAACAGGUUGAAAUGUUCCUUCUUGCCUAUGCUGUGCGCCAUACCAUCCAGGUGUACCGGCUCUCCAAGUACAACACUGAAGAGUUCAUUACAGUCUAUCCCACUGACCCACCCAAGGACUGGCCGGUGGUGACCCUCAUCGCUGAGGAUGAUCGGCACUAUAAUAUCCCUGUCAGAGUAUGUGAGGAGACAAGUCUGUGAGAGACUCACCUGCCUGGACAGUCUGAGGACAUGGCAAAAGUGCACAGGCAGCUCCUCAGCUUGGGCUCAGGCCUCUGCUGGUCUCUAAGAACAGUCUGUGAGAACUCUUGGGCCCCUGGGAGCCAAGUUGGACUGGGGUGUUCUGAAGACUAACUUUUCAUAAUAAGAACAACUGUUUUCCCUUAUCUGGGACCCAAUGUGUUUCAUUGGGAYCUUCAGAGCAUACCUUUGGAAAGUGCAUACUGCAUUUCCGUAAAGCAAAUACUUUGUUUUAGAGGAAACUCAUUUUGAAGAAAAUGUUCAUGUCUCAAGUCAAAAUUCUCUCUACUGAUCUGCCCCUGAAACCACCCCCAAAGCAGCUACGCAUCUGAAUGUUCAGCACUCAUACAUAUAAAUGGAGGAAAAGCCGCUCUGAGGAAGCAUGUAAGGACUUGUCCCUGUGCGGGGCACAUCUGAGGGGCACCAGGUGCCCCAAAGCGGGAAUGCAGCCCUGUGAGGUUCACAGCCACCUUUAUGCCCUUACAGCCUUUUUUCUCUGAGGAACAGUAUGGGUACACAGCACUGAAAACAAUAAACACAACAGGACCGCCUUCUCCUUUGCCUCUUUUGCCCUUCCAGCUCACACUCGCAUUCCCACAGUUGUCCACACAACAAUUUAUUUCUGGGUUACCCGUGACCCAGAAUAGUUCUCUGGUCAUUUAUGGACCCUUACAUUCAUAUGCAAACAAGGGAUUUUGUAAAAACUGCUGCAAAUAAAAUACAAUGGUCAGUGAUACAAUACCAUUCAACUACAGGUAUGUGGAACACGCAAUCACUGCAUCGUAUUAGAGACAUUUUAUUGAAAAUGCGAAAAUAGGAAAUGUAUUAUAGCCUAAAAUAAAUUACAUAACAUAUACAGCAUAUAUUUAUAUCUUUAAAAUAUUUUGUUUAGGUUCUUUCAGUCUAGUUAUUUUGACUAAAACAAGAAUUUAGAGAACUGUGUCCAUAAUUUUU